ACUCCUACGGGAGGCAGCAGUGGCCAAUAUUGCACAAUGGGGGAAACCCUGAUGCAGCGACGCCGCGUGAGUGAAGAAGUAUUUCGGUAUGUAAAGCUCUAUCAGCAGGGAAGAAAAUGACGGUACCUGACUAAGAAGCCCCGGCUAACUACGUGCCAGCAGCCGCGGUAAUACGUAGGGGGCAAGCGUUAUCCGGAUUUACUGGGUGUAAAGGGAGCGUAGGUGGUUCGGUAAGUCAGAUGUGAAAGCCCGGGGCUCAACCCCGGGACUGCAUUUGAAACUAUCGAACUAGAGUGCAGGAGAGGUAAGUGGAAUUCCUAGUGUAGCGGUGAAAUGCGUAGAUAUUAGGAGGAACACCAGUGGCGAAGGCGGCUUACUGGACUGUAACUGACACUGAGGCUCGAAAGCGUGGGGAGCAAACAGGAUUAGAUACCCUGGUAGUC
rnacentral:rRNA from 1 species